GACUAUAAUAAAAAAGAGAGAAAAAGGUACGAAACUGACAUAGACAUACACAGCUGUACUUAACCAAAAGUCUUCAGUUACUUCUUUGGCAUACUAUUAUCAUCAGAUCACAUUUGUAAAGAAACAGGAUUAAGUAAAGGCAAGACCUAGCAUGCCCGAACAAUAAUUGACACCGUAUGUAGGUAUUUUCACACAAAAAAAAUAAGAGACUUACUUUGGAGGUUAAGUUUAAGUUGUGGUUUAGCAGGGAGGAAAAAAGGGGUCAAGAAGUACUUUAUGUUAAGUUUAAUUUCUUGCUUUACUUACCCGACAUGUUAGUUGAGCAUCCUCAUUUCAGACUAUGAGACUGGAGUUUUCCAAGAAGGAAAAGUGUUUUAACUGACCAAAUGUUGACUUGGCAUAUUGGUAAAUAAGAUAAGCCAACUCUGGAAACAUCACACGGCUAUGUAAUUUAUUAACAUUUUAUGUUGAGGCUGAGGUUAAGGCCAGCCUUACUCUCUAGCCAGGUUAUGAGCACACUCAUUUAGGGCUACCUUGCUAGGUAAUGUGGGGCAAGGUGUGUGGGGCAUACAGGGCCCCAGAGCAAGUCAGGGGGGUCUGAGCAGCUGUUCUCCAGCCCCUGGAGCUCCUGGGUGGGAAGCUUUCCUCGGGGACUUAUGUCUGCACUUUAAGUCGAUGGUCAGUAAGAAGGGAAGAACUCAUUCUUCCCCCAGUCCCCAUUUCCAAACCAGUGUAGAGCACUGGUGUGACACCUGAGCCUUCCAACACUGGUUCAGAAAGGGCUGGGGGGCUUCAGCUGUGUGUCUGAGUUCCAUGCAUGGACGUGGACACAGCAACAAUGAGGAGGGUUGUGGGCCAGCAGGGAGACUGCAGCACAGAGCUAAUCCACUGCUGAACAGGGACCCACAAUUGAGGUCUCAUGUCUGGAAGGCUUGUCCUUUACCAGGACGGUGUUCUGAUCCUGUCACCUACUGACCCUUUCUAUAACCCUCUUGGAGGAUACAUUUAAUCAGCCCAAACGGAAUUACUUUUCCUUCAGCGUGCAGUGCUUAAAAGACCUGCUAGUGCAUUCAGAGAAAUGUCACCUUUGCCCAAUGAACUACCAGCUGAAAAGUCCUGAAAGCACUACACAAACCCCACAUCACCAGCAGGCUGACAAACUGGUGGCUGUCAGAGGUGUCCUGCAAGGUGUCCUACAGGACAGAAUGCAAUUUCACAGGUCAUUCAAAUGCAGGCAAGUGCAGUAGAAGAUGAAUUUUGCUUACUUUGGUUCGCCUAUCUUGAUACCCGGGUGUUGCGUGUAGGCAUGGGAGUGUGUGCUGGGAGCAGACUUAAAUGCCAUGGGACAGAUGGGACACUUGUAAAAGACUUCACAGUGACAACCUUGAAUAUGAGACUUGAGUGCCGCCACGUCAGAG